rnacentral:snRNA from 1 species
CUACUUACCUGGCAGGGGAGAUACCAUGAUCACGGAGGUAGUUUUCCAAGGGUGAGGCUCAUCCAUUGCACUGCGAGUGUGUUGACCCCUGUGAUUUCCCCAAAUGGGGGAAACUCGACUGCAUAGUUUGUGGCAGUCAGGGACUGCGUCUGUGCUCUCUCCUA